CAUUUUUCAUCAACCUUAUUUCCAUUUUGUUUGCCUUUGUGGAAGAGCGGCUGAAGACCACUCACUUUACCAAAGAGUUCCAACAGCCUCAGAGAAGCUCCAGCCAAACAAAAUUUGAAUAGAUUUCUCCCUUCCCAGAAAAUAGAAGACUUUACAAUGAAGUGCUAUAAUCAGUUGGUCUAAAGUGAAGACUUCUUUCUUCUGAUGUUCUAUCCUUGGGUGCAACCUCACUGCCAGGGAGAAGCUCCAGUGUAUGAAUGACUAGCUCUCUGUGCAUGACAACAAGCAAACGGGAAUAUGCUUCUCU